CCCUUAGAUGUUCGGGGCCGCACGCGCGCUGCACUGAAGGAAUCAGCGCGUCUUUCUCCUUGUCCGAAAGGACUGGGUAACCCGCUGAACCUCCUUCGUGCUAGGGAUUGGGGCUUGUAAUUCUUCCCCAUGAACGAGGAAUUCCCAGUAAGCGCGAGUCAUAAGCUCGCGUUGAUUACGUCCCUGCCCUUUGUACACACCGCCCGUCGCUACUACCGAUUGGAUGGUUUAGUGAGAUCCUCGGAUUGGUCCCGGCGCGGCCUCUGGUCGUGCCGGAGUGCCGAAAAGAAUGUCGAACUUGAUCAUCUAGAGGAAGUAAAAGUCGUAACA
rnacentral:rRNA from 1 species